UCGGGAAUUUUGGGCAAUGGGCGAAAGCCUGACCCAGCAACGCCGCGUGAAGGAUGAAGUAUUUCGGUAUGUAAACUUCGAAAGAAUAGGAAGAAUAAAUGACGGUACUAUUUAUAAGGUCCGGCUAACUACGUGCCAGCAGCCGCGGUAAUACGUAGGGACCAAGCGUUGUUCGGAUUUACUGGGCGUAAAGGGCGCGUAGGCGGCAAUUCAAGUCAUCUGUGAAAUCUCCGGGCUUAACUCGGAACGGUCAGAUGAUACUGCUUUGCUAGAGUGCAGAAGGGGCAAUCGGAAUUCUUGGUGUAGCGGUGAAAUGCGUAGAUAUCGAGAGGAACACCUGAGGUGAAGACGGGUUGCUGGGCUGACACUGACGCUGAGGCGCGAAAGCCAGGGGAGCAAACGGGAUUAGAUACCCUAGUAGUCCCUGAGCGGGCUGGCAAGGCGCAU
rnacentral:rRNA from 1 species